rnacentral:miRNA from 1 species
CUACACGUUUCCAAAUCAUUGC